rnacentral:rRNA from 1 species
GCUGGCGGCGUGCUUAACACAUGCAAGUCGAGUGCGCGUCCGUAGCAAUACGGAUGGCGCACGGCGCACGGGUGCGUAACACGUGGGCAAUCUGCCCUUCGAUGGGGAAUAACUCCGGGAAACCGAAGCUAAUUCCGCAUAACAUUCCUUGGACCUCGGUUCGAGGACUCAAAGCCGUAAGGCGUCGAAGGAGGAGCCCGCGCCCGAUUAGCUAGUUGGUGAGGUAACGGCUCACCAAGGCAAUGAUCGGUAGCUGGUCUGAGAGGAUGGCCAGCCACACUGGAACUGAGACACGGUCCAGACUCCUACGGGAGGCAGCAGUGGGGAAUCUUGCGCAAUGGGCGAAAGCCUGACGCAGCGACGCCGCGUGGGGGAUGAAGCAUCUCGGUGUGUAAACCCCUUUCGACUGGGACGAAUGCCUCGCAAGAGGAGUGACGGUACCAGUAGAAGAAGCCCCGGCUAACUACGUGCCA